rnacentral:miRNA from 1 species
UGGCCAAUGAUUGUGGCUGCA